rnacentral:rRNA from 1 species
UACGUAGGGUGCGAGCGUUGUCCGGAAUUAUUGGGCGUAAAGAGCUCGUAGGCGGUCUGUCGCGUCUGCUGUGAAAUCCCGAGGCUCAACCUCGGGCCUGCAGUGGGUACGGGCAGACUAGAGUGCGGUAGGGGAGAUUGGAAUUCCUGGUGUAGCGGUGGAAUGCGCAGAUAUCAGGAGGAACACCGGUGGCGAAGGCGGGUCUCUGGGCCGAUACUGACGCUGAGGAGCGAAAGCGUGGGGAGCGAACAGG